rnacentral:rRNA from 1 species
UACGAAGGGGGCUAGCGUUGCUCGGAAUUACUGGGCGUAAAGGGCGCGUAGGCGGGUCGUUAAGUUAGAGGUGAAAGCCCCAGGGCUCAACCCUGGAAUUGCCUUUAAUACUGUCGACCUUGAGUAUGGCAGAGGUGUGUCGGAACUCCGAGUGUAGAGGUGAAAUUCGUAGAUAUUCGGAAGAACACCAGUGGCGAAGGCGACACACUGGGCCAUUACUGACGCUGAGGCG